AGCUGGUUCUCCCCGAAAUAGGUUUAGGCCUAGCCUUGAGGUUAAGUGCUAUGGAGGUAGAGCACUGAAUAUGUGAUGGCCCCAUCUAGGGGUACUGAAUGUAAUCAAACUCCGAAUGCCAUAGUUACAUACUCAGGAGUCAGCGUGUGGGUGAUAACGUCCAUACGCGAAAGGAAAAGAGUCCAAGAUCGCCGAUUAAGGUCCCAAAAUUUGUGCUAAGUGGGAAAGGAUGUGGAGUUGUCAAAACAGCUAGGAGGUUGGCUUAGAAGCAGCCAUCCUUUAAAGAGUGCGUAAUAGCUCACUAGUCGAGUGACACUGCGCCGAAGAUGUACCGGGGCUAAGCACAAUACCGAAAUCGCGGAUUCAUGUUUACAUGAGUGGUAGGGGAGCGUUCCAAGGGCGUUGAAGGUUGACCGUGAGGACAGCUGGAGCGCUUGGAAGUGAGAAUGCCGGUGUGAGUAGCGCAAGAUGGGUGAGAAUCCCAUCCACCGUUUGACUAAGGGUUCCUGGGGCAGGUUCGUCCUCCCAGGGUUAGUCGGGUCCUAAGACGAGGCCGAAAGGCGUAGCCGAUGGACAACAGGUUGAUAUUCCUGUACUAUCUAUAUGACUGAUGGAGUGACGGAGAAGGCUAGGAAGAGCCAGUUAAUGGAUUCUGGUCUAAGCGCAAAGGCUUAUAAUUAGGGAAAUCCGAUUAUAGUUAAGCUGAAGCGUGAUGGUGAAGUUGCUUGCAACGAAAUCUUUUGACGCCACGCUUCCAAGAAAAGCUUCUAGGGCUAAUCAUAUAGGUACCCGUACCCAGAACCGACACAGGUGGUCAAGGAGAGUAUCCUAAGGUGAGCGAGAGAACCAUGGUUAAGGAACUCGGCAAAAUAACCCCGUAACUUCGGAAUAAGGGGUGGUCGCUUCGGUGACCGACACUAAAGACGCCCAGGCAACUGUUUACCAAAAACACAGGUUUCUGCUAAGUCGAAAGACGAUGUAUAGGAGCUGACACCUGCCCAGUGCUGGAAGGUUAAGAGGAGAGCUUAGAUAGACGCAAGUCGAUGAUUCGAAGGUUUGAAUUGAAGCCCCAGUGAACGGCGGCCGUAACUAUAACGGUCCUAAGGUAGCGAAAUUCCUUGUCAGGUAAGUUCUGACCCGCACGAAAGGUGUAAUGAUCUGGGCACUGUCUCAACCAUGGACUCGGUGAAAUCUUAAUACCUGUGAAAAUGCAGGUUACCCGCAUCAGGACGGAAAGACCCCAUGGAGCUUUACUGUAGCUUGAUAUUGAAGUUCGGUAAGUUAUGUAGAGGAUAGGUGGGAGACUAUGAGACUAGGACGCCAGUUCUAGAGGAGUCAACCUUGGAAUACCACCCUUAACUUACUGGAUUUCUAACCUCGGUCCAUUAUCUGGAUCAGGGACAGUGUCUGGUGGGCAGUUUGACUGGGGCGGUCG
rnacentral:rRNA from 1 species